CACUAAGAAGCUGUCAAGGAGUAGCAUUAGCCUUUUAAGCUAACCAUUGGUGCCUACCGCCCACCCCUAGUGA
rnacentral:tRNA from 1 species